CCGAGCAUCCUGUAGUUAAGCACACUCUUUUCCUACAGUCCAGUGGGUGAUCUCUAACUGGGAUAGAGAUCAGUAACAGUAUUGGUAGGGAUAGGUAACAGUAUUGCCUCGUAUCAGUUGUCAAGCUCAGCAUCACUUCAGUUUAAACUUUAAUUUUUUUUAUUUAUUUUUUCAUGUUUUAGGGUUUGGGGGUCUGUUUUGUUUUAUUUUUACUUUUCAAUCUCUGAUUACAGAAAAAAAAUAGCGAAGCUGUCAUAGUAACUGUAAUCAGAGAAACCCCAGACGGCAAGGUAGAUCUGCUCACAAUGGGUCCUGGGCCCCUUCUCAGCAGCUGCACACCUUUAUAAGGGCCAGCUCUCCCUCCACCACCCACUUUCCCUCCCUAGAGCCUGCAGAAUCCAAACCCAAGACUCAGGAGCAGCGUGGUGUGGAGCCCAGCACAGAGGACCUUUCAGCCCACAUGCUACCACUGGAUUCCCAAGGAGCCAGCUUGGUCUGACAGAAGUUGACAUCCGGGGAUCGCCAGUGAGUGUGGAAGUUCAUGGACACUGGAUGUUUCUUAAUCUCUUGUUUUUAAACGUGAUAAAUUUGGUGUUAGGUC
rnacentral:lncRNA from 1 species